UACGAAGGGUGCAAGCGUUAAUCGGAAUUACUGGGCGUAAAGCGUGCGCAGGCGGUUCGUUAAGUCAGAUGUGAAAGCCCCGGGCUCAACCUGGGAACUGCAUUUGAAACUGGCGGGCUUGAGUAUGGCAGAGUGGGGUGGAAUUCCGCGUGUAGCAGUGAAAUGCGUAGAGAUGCGGAGGAACACCGAUGGCGAAGGCAGCCCCCUGGGCCAAUACUGACGCUCAGGCACGAAAGCGUGGGGAGCAAACAGG
rnacentral:rRNA from 1 species